rnacentral:lncRNA from 1 species
CCAUUUCUUGCUAUGCAUGGUUCAUUAAGAAACCAACUAGGAGCACACCUCCACUGCCACCAGGUCCGCGAGCCCUGCCCUUAGUCGGAAACAUUCUUUCCGUUGAACCAAAUUUGCAUCGUUACUUUGCCAAAUUGUCCCAAAUUUACGGUCCAAUCUUCAAAUUUUAUCUGGGUAGAAAAUUGUGCAUUGUGAUCGGCUCACCUUCACUUGCCAAACAAGUCCUCAAAGAGCAUGAUGUGGUAUUUGCCAACCGUGAUCCAUCUGCAGCUGCAUCAGUUCUAACAUACGGAGGGAAGUCUAUAGGUGCGAGUCCUGAAUGGCCCAAGUUGCGUCAAGUUCUUGUUCGUGAAACUAUGAGUAACACGAGCCUUAAUUCUUCUUCUGCGAUUCGUAGACAAGCAGUUUAAGAUCAAUGAAGGAUGUCAGUGGACGGGUUGGUUCACCUAUUAAAGUAGGUGAGCUGAUGUUCUUAACUUCGCUAGAUGUAGCAACAAGAAUGUUAUGGGGGGCUUCACUGCGCGGAGAGGAUUGGGACGCUGUCGCGAUUCAAUUUAGGGAAGUACUCGAGGAGAUGUUUCAAGUGUUGGGUUCGGGAAACAUUUCCGAUCUUUUUCCUCUUCUUACUCGCUUCGACUUACAGGGACUUGAAUCCAAAGCAAAAAAGCUUACAGUUCGAUUGGAUAAGAUUUUCGAGUCAUUAUUGAGACCUGGUCAGAGUGGACAGGACAGGAAUGAGGGGAAGUCGAGCAAAGAUUUUCUGCAAAUCUUGUUGGAGCUUCAGCAACAAGGAGAUUAUUCCUUAUCCAUGGACCAAAUUAAGGCCUUGUUUAUGGUAAAAAUCUUAUCAACUUGCUUUGAACUAUUUUAAGCGUUUUCAUUUUUUGAAUUUGAAUUGAAUUGUCAACACUCAACAGGAUGUUGCUGUUGGAAGUACGGAUACAACAUCAAUCACUGUAGAGUGGGCGAUGUCAGAGCUGCUGCAGAAACCGGAGGUAAUGAGAAAAGCCCGCAACGAACUGGAGCAAGUGGUGGCACCUGACAGUGUUGUGGAAGAGUUUCAUCUUGCCAAAUUGCCUUACUUGGAAGCAAUUGUAAAAGAGACAUUAAGAUUGCAUCCACCCGCGCCGCUUCUAACCUCGCGAAGGCCUAGUGCAACAAGCAACUUGUCUGGGUAUACAAUUCCCAAGGGCUCAACAAUAUUCAUCAACGCGUGGGCGAUACAGAGGAAUCCUGAGGUAUGGGAAAAUCCCCAAGAUUUUCAACCUGAUAGGUUCUUGGAAGAUGUCAAAAUAGGUGAUUUUCGAGGAAACAAUUUCAAUUAUCUUCCAUUUGGUUCCGGGAGGAGGAUUUGUCCUGGAAUUCCUCUAGCAGAGAAGAUUGUCCCUCAUGUAUUAGCCAACCUAUUGCAUCUUUUUGAGUGGAGUUUGCCUGAGGGAACAAAGUUUGAUCUUUCCGAUAAGCUUUUAAUGGCACUGAAAAAGUCGGAGCCACUUGUGGUCAUCCCAACUCCAAGAUCACUCUCUGCUUUAGAGCAUUGCAAUUAAUCACUGUUGUUUUAGAUUUCAAACACGUAUUGUGCCAUAUUCUUGCUUUUGUACUGGAAGAAAGCAAAAACUUUGUUUUAUAGACCGCUAAUAAUUUGCUUUCUACCAUAAACGACGUUUGUUGUGCUUGUAUAUGAUUUCAAGAUUUAAUGUACUCUUAUGUUAUUGUGGCUUUGCCUUUCACCAUUCUUCAUGAAGCCGUAAUAGGGACAUCUACGCGUGAGCAGGACAAGCUCAUCAAAUCUGAAAGAUUUGUUUUGUCUGGUAACCUCAAACCAAGAAUUUUCUUAAACCAAAAUUGCUUUGAGGUGUCUGCUUGGCUAUUUUAGGUUUUGAUCUUCCUCCCCGCCCCACUUAUGUAGUAUAAGUCCGUUAUAUGGUUAUGAAGUUUAUUGAUAGUGUUCAAACCUCUACUUUCACGCGUUAUUAAUACUUCAUUACUAUCACUUCAUACUAAAUAACCUAAAAGACAGAGAUGUAGGAUCAAUUGACUGGCUCAAAAUACAAAGAUACAGGGAUCAAAAUAAUGUAACUUGCAUUCAUCCAAGAGUUGCUCCAAGUAAGCCAAGUAUAAUUUGGUUGCCAAAUAGUCUUGGAUUAUGGAGAACAAUUCUUUGUCGAUGUAACUUAGUUAAAAAUGUAACUUAAUCACUACUAAGGAAUCUUUUGUUUCUUAUCAUGAUGAUUAGCUUAAAAAAGAGAGAAAAAGAAAGGAAAUCCCACGUCGGAUCAUCCAAUUAUAGAACAACAUAUGCUAAGAUCCAGUAUGUUCGAAUGGAUCAUCCCAAGUCAUUUCGGUCAACAGCUGCAUUUCCUGCCACUGAUAUCAACUUUUCCAUAGUAAUAAUUUUAUUUAAGAAUGUAUAAUUUCUUCUUGGGUUUGGUUAUAUUGGAAUCGCUAUAAGGUAGAGCACCCCUUCAUAAUUAUACGAUCAAAGUUAUAAUGAGUUUUUUAUUAUUUAUCACUUUGCGUGUGUGGUUAAAAUUUAUACUUUACCUUAGAGCAACUUCAAAAUAGCCAUAGCCUUUUAUUUAUUUUUUUUUUUUGUGGAAUGUGUGUUGCAAAGUGUAAUAACAACAUUAUUAAUAACCAGAAAAAGAGGGGAGGAGUUAAUACUUAUAAUAUUUUCGAAUUUAACGCUUGUUACAAAUGAACCAGACGCAGCGAGUCCUGUAAAUUUUCCCGUUAAAUAAAUUCAAUUGUCUUUACCAAAUUUUGACAUCUACAAGUGAUUUUAGGGAGUCGUUUUCUACAGAUGGUUGAGAUUUAAAGGGAUUUCUGAAGUGAUGCGAACAAGAGACUCUUUUCCCCAUAGUGAAAUGCUGCUAUGAGUGAAGUUGACUUGCACCUUAGAUUGCCAAAUUUCUAAGAGAAGUGAAUGGAAUUGACCAAAAGACUACCUGUACCCGUAAUAAAAUUUGUUUGUUGUCUGCAUUUGUUGAUUACGGUUCCUAGAUUUGGUGUCUAUUUAGCCAUUUAUUGACACUGAGAUUCAACCAAGCAAAUCAAGUUAAAAGAUCCAGACAACUUCACCGUUUGGUGCAUUCUUAAAGUUGCAAAAUACAUUAGGAUAUGCAGAUAUAUUUAUAGGACAGCAAACGGGCUUGUAAACAGCCAAGUCUUUGUACUGGGGCUAUCAUAUUUUAAAAGCAUAUGGACAAAACUUUAAUACACUGAAGUAUUGUGAGUUAAAUAUAAUUACGAUUAGCAUUCAGGGAUAUCUGUUUUUUUUCCGAAAUUCAGAGGGGGUAAAUGCAUUUGAGGGUUAAACAUGCCGAGAUCAAGCUGUGUUUUUGCCAAACUUCUGAGGCAUCCUAAAAGACACAAAAGACAAGCCCCCAUUCUCAUUUUUCCUGCCUCCCCAUAAAGGUAGAAAGUGCACAUUAAUGCAAGGUGAAAACACAAUCUGAUUGCAUAUUGAUCCAAACUUUUGCUACUUAUAACGUUAAUAAUUUAAUACAACAAAACAUUAGAAUGUUAACAGGUGACUAUCUCAUGCCACUCAUGUUUACAUCAGAAGUUGUUCACUCAGUAUACAGCAAGAGAAUGGACAUGGAUGAAGAGGGAACAUCUGACUCAAAUUUGGCAUUCUGUGAAUUCUAUGAUGGUUAAAGGCUCACUGAUGGCCACUCUCAUUCUCCUGCUCCAUCUCCUCUGCAUCGUCAAAGCGUUGAUCACUAAUUUGAAGCUGCGGGCAAUUUAAAUAAUGGUAUCAAUGAGGAAGGCAUAGUUAAGGUCUAAUAUAAAUUUCCAGACAAAUUCGAUUGGCUGCAUAGGUCAUAGAUUAUGGGGUGAAAACCGGUGAUGAAUUGGAAUUCAAACAACAAAAUAAGACACUAAAUCUGAGGGCCAAGAAUGAACAACAAGAAAAAUGGAUGUGUUAAGGGAUACCUGAAGCACAUUGUUAGCUAGGUCAUUAUCACCAUUUGAAUGACCAAUUGGGUUUGUUGGAUCCUGAAAAAAAUGACACCCAGGAUCUUCCCCUAACGGACAUACCAAUUAUUAAAGAACAAAACAUUUGUAAGAAUAACAAGAAGGGACGUAAUAUUUCAAAAGGGAAUGGAAUCAUGUUUGACCCUCCAUACCUGUACCCUCGUUUUCCAGCUGGUCAGCACUAAAAACCCAAUUGUGCCCUUCUUCUUCCUCUGAUGAAGGCAUAUGAAGAUGCAGAAAUUAGUAUUCGACUAAUGAACAUACAUAAUAAAUAAAUUUGCUACUCGACCAUUGUAAUAUUUAUAUGAGAGUAAACUCACCUUCUAUAGGUUCAGGAUUGAGCUCGGCACACUCGCAAAAAAUCUCAAACAGAUUAUCCACUACCACACACCAAUGAAGACGAUGGUCUAUGGUUAAUACUCUGCAUUAAACAGCAAGCAAGAUACAUCCAGAAAACAUAGAGAUAGCAGCAUAAAAGACCACAAAAAGAAUUCAUCUGUCACAGAGAAGAUUGAAAAAUUAUGUCCUUUAGCUAUUAACAACGAAUUGUCCUCCGUUUUAUUGAAACAAAUCCAUUGCUUCCACUUCAUUUGUUUGACAGGCUUCACUCUCCUCCGCAAGUGUCAAACAUGUUAUCAAAACUUAUCCAUAGUUUCGUUGGUCUGUCCUUUGAAUUCAACGAGCACAUAAUCACCAGCUGCAGAGUGAUACCAAUUCUUUGGCAGCAACAUUUGCCAUUUCUUGCUAUGCAUGGUUCAUUAAGAAACCAACUAGAAGCUCACCACCACUGCCACCAGGUCCGCGAGCCCUGCCCUUAGCCGGAAACAUUCUUUCUGUUGAACCAAAUUUGCAUCUUUACUUUGCCAAAUUGUCCCAAAUUUACGGUCCAGUCUUCAAAUUUUAUCUGGGUAGAAAAUUUUCUGCAAAGAUUUUCGAGUCAUUAUUGAGAUCUGGUCAGAGUGGACAGGACAGGAAUGAGGGGAAGUCGAGCAAAGAUUUUCUGCAAACCUUGUUGGAGCUUCAGCAGCAAGGAGAUUAUUCCUUAUCCAUGGACCAAAUUAAGGCCUUGUUUAUGGUAAAAAUCUUAUCAACUUGCUUUGAACUAUUUUAAGCGUUAUCAUUUUUUGAAUUUGAAUUGAAUUGUCAACACUUAACAGGAUCUUUUUAUUGGAAGUACGGAUACAACAUCAAUCACUGUAGAGUGGGCGAUGUCAGAGCUGCUGCAGAAACCGGAGGUCAUGAGAAAAGCCUGCAACGAACUGGAGCAAGUGGUGGCACUUGACAGUGUUGUGGAAGAGUUUCAUCUUGCCAAAUUGCCUUUCUUAGAAGCAAAUGUAAAAGAGACAUUGCGAUUGCAUCCACCCGCGCCGCUUCUAACCUCGCGAGGCCUAGUGCAACAAGCAACUUGUCUGGGUAUACAAUUCCCAAGGGCUCAACAAUUUUCAUCAAUGCGUGGGCGAUACAGAGGAAUCCUGAGGUUUGGGAAAAUCCUCAAGAUUUUCAACCUGAUAGGUUCUUGAAAGAUGUCAAAAUAGGUGAUUUUCGAGGAAACAAUUUCAAUUAUCUUCCAUUUGGUUCCGGAAGGAGGAUUUGUCCUGCAAUUCCUCUAGCAGAGAAGAUUGUCCCUUAUGUAUUAGCCAACCUAUUGCAUCUUUUUAAGUGGAGUUUGCUUGAGGGAUGAUAUGAAAAAUUUUAAUAUGUUCGGAAGCACAUGAAUUUAGAAAUAAAAUAGUAGUAACGAGAUCGAAGUUAUAGAGAUUGUUAUAAAUUGAAAAGUCUAAUUUAAAUUUAAAAUUAAUAUUAAUCCUAGCUUAGUUGAGUAAGUUGAGUUUUUAAGGAAAUAAAAUUAAUUAAAAUAGAAAACAUAAAGCAAAGGAGAAUUCAAUAAGAUAAAAAUUACUAAGGUUUUAAAAUCCACCACUGUUCAACUAGUAAUUAUCUAAUUAUUAAUUAAUCCCCAAUUUUACAGUGACAACUCGAAAUCAUUAUAUGUCAUCUCAUGGAUAUAACAAAAGAAGAUUCCUACCAAACUAGAAAUACGGUUAGAGUCUACACAACUAAAUUUAUGAUAAGUCGUGAGGUGCCGGUCCUUGUAUGUUACGUUUAUUAAAAAGAUCUUAGAAGGAUUCUUUUACUUUAAAAUUUUAUACCAUGUUUAGUUCGAAAAAAAUAUAAGGAGAGGAAAGGAGGAGAGGGGAAAAAAAUAAAAGAAGAAAAAUGAAUUCCUUGUCCAUCCAAACAAUAAAAAUAAAAUUGCCAUUCUUUUUCACUCAUUUUCUCUCCCCUUCUUUCUUUUCAAUUCCUUUCCUCUCUUAUUAUUUCUUACAACCAAACAUGGGCUUAGGGCAUAUUUGGUUGAGCUAUUAAAACACCUCACUACAUUAAAUUUAUACAAGCUCAUGUUUAAUAGAUAAAAAAUCACAACAACAUUGUAUUAAUGGCCCAAGCUAAUGCAGUAGUUGUCGCAUUAGCUAAACCCAACUCACAGUCAGGUUUAAAUUAAUGUAGCAAUUGCUGCUUGCUUUUUUUUUUUUUUUGUUCUUUUGCUUUUGACUUUUGCUUUUACUUUUUGGCUUUUGCUUUUGGUUUACAACAACAACAACAACAACUUAUAUUUACUCUGUUAUAAAAAAUACUAUAAUAUUUUAAGAGCCUAUCAAUCGUCCACCUUAAAUUGACAAAAGAUAUAUGCCGACCACCAAACCGUUAGCUGCCGUUUGAAAGUUAACGGAACUAUAGCGAAUUGACGAUUUUACCCUUGAAACUUAAAUUAAAGUAAAAGAAAAUUAUUACUUGUAUAUCCUUAAAUUCUCUUAUUAUCACUUGUAUACCCUUAAAUUAUCAUUUGUAUCAUAUAAAAGACUAAAUUACCCCUCUGACGUCAUCCUAUUUAAACGGCAAGUAAUGGUUUGGUGGGCAGCAGAUACAUUUUGUCAACUUAUGGUGGAUGAUUGAUACACCCUCAAAGUGUUGUAGCGUUUUUUAUAACGAAGUAAACUAAGGGUAUACGAAUGAUAAUUUUCCUAUUAUUAUAUUAUAAUUUUUAUUUUUACAUUAUAAUUUAUUAUAACUAAUAAUAAAUAUUUAAAUAUGAAUAAAUUUAAAUAAUAUUAAUUUAAAAUUAAUAAUAAUAUAAAAUAUUAAUACAAUUUAAAUAUAUUAAUGUAAUAUAAAAUAUUAAUAUAAUAUAAUAUUUAAUUUAAAUUAAUCACAAAAAAAUUAAUAAGUACAAUAUAACAUUAAACAUUGUACAAUAUUAUUAUAAUAUAAUACUAAUAUAAUAUAACAUAAUACAAUAUAUUAAUAUUAAAAUAAUACAAUACAAUAUAAUAUAAUCAGCGCUAAUAUUCUCACAACACUUAAGCACAAAACGUAGCACAAAAUCCGAUUUUUAGGAGAAUAAUUGCCACCAAUUCUCUGUGAAUAAUUUAAUGAAAGAUACGGAAUCAAAGAUAAUUUAGUAUAGACUUCAUAGAUCCAAGCAUAGAUUUAAUCAACUAUUAAUCUUAGCGAACAAUAAUGCAUAACAGAAUUGGUGAAAAGAUUUAAUAACAUCUAAUUAAUCAUGUGAAAUAAGAACCAGAAAUAUUAAAGCACGCAUAUAAGAGAUUAAUUAAAUAAAAAAGAUAAUUAUUUCAUUAAAUAUGGUUUCAUCCUUAACUUUGGUAUAAAAAAAUUAACUAGACAUACUUGCAUUGGAAGCAACAAAAUAAAUAAAACCAACCAUGGAAAUUUAACUGUUGCUACCAGUUUUCUUCUGUGCCUUGCGAUUGCGUCUUCUUGCUCCUUGUGGCGGCUGCCCUCUCAAAAGCCAAAGUCAGCUUUUAUAGCCUUCAAAAUGGGCCACCGACCUUUUCAAUUCUAAAGUCAAAAGGCUUGGCCUUUUAAUUUGAUUUGGUCUUGCACGUGCACUCCAAUUAAGGUAAAGCCACCUAUGUUGUGGUUAAUUUCUUCUUCACGUGGUUGGAUCAAUUAAUUUACUAGCUUCGGUUUUCUCGGCUUCACUUCCACAUGAAUGUAUGUCUAAUUGCUUCCAAAAUCAAUUCAUCUUUAAUGCUUCCUAAAUUAAACUUCUUCAUAUUCUUUUUAUCCAUAAUCUUCAAUUAAUUCCUUAUUCAAUAAAAUAAUUCAAUUAAUUAAAAAUAACUAAUAAUUAUAUAAUUAAGGAUAAAAUAUGUAUAUAUUAUAUGCUCCUCAUGGAACAAAGUUUGAUCUUUCCGAUAAGCUUUUGAUGGCACUGAAAAAGUCAAAGCCACUUGUGGUCAUCCCAACUCCAAGGUCACUCUUCGCUUUAAAGCAUUGCAAUUAAUUAAUGCUGUUUUAAAUUUCAAAUUAAAUAGAUAAUGUCUCGUGCUUUUGUACUGGAAUCCAGCAAUAAUUUGUUUUAUAGACUAUUAAUAAACUGCUCUCUCUAUAAACUUCAUUUGUUGUACAUGAUUUCAAGAUUGAAUUUACUUAACGUUAAUGUGGCCGUUGCCUUGUUUCACCGUUCUUCAUGAAGCCUUAGGGGGGAUAUCAAUCUGCGCAUGCUCAUCAAAUUUAAGAGAUUGGUUUUGCUUGGUAAUUCCUAUCAGAAAAUUGAUAGGUGAACCAGACGCACAAUUAAAGUGAAUUGAGAAAUAUUAAAACACCAGAAUCACAUAGGGAUAUUUAAAUUUAUAUGGUUUGACUUUUAGCCUACAUCUAUGGAUGAACUUAAAAAGAUAAAACUUUAUUAAUGAAAUGGAAAUUACAAGAUAGUUAUGUCAAUCGAGAACAAAAAUAGAAAUAAUUAUUAUAAAAUGGGACAAAACUAUGAUGCAACUAUGGUACUAUACCACAGUUGCACCCAACUAUGGUACCAUACCACAGUUGUACCCAACCAUUGAAUUCAGCCACAGUUGUCACCAUAACUGGAUCUAAUAGUUUAAAGCAACUGUGGUAUGGUACCACAAUUGCACCAUAACCGGACCCUAUAAAAUAAUACGAAACAAGUCAUAAACUUCUCUUUUUAUUUUUAUUUGAAUUUGUUAGUUUUGACAAUUAUGUGAUCAAUUGAAUCAAAUUAAUUUUAGAAAGAUAAAAUAAUUUUAAUUCUAAAAAAUUUGUACAGAGUUCAAAUCUUAAUUUACUUAUACUCUUAUUGAAUGAAUAGAAUUGUAGCUAAUGAAGUCACAAACUGAAAUUAUUGGUCAUAAUUUUCGAUAAAAUUGAUGAUUACGAAAUCCUGAGGUUUUGAAAAAGUAAGAAAGGAAAAGGACGUAGAGUGCAUUACAAACGUGGACAGAGAAACAAGCUGAAAUUUGAAGUUAAUUUCUGUUAUGUAUUUUAUAAUUUUUAAAAGGAAAAACUAGAAGUUAACUAAAUCCCAAUUGUUGAAAAACUUACAUGACUGUGAUGCGGUCGUGGAUACGGAAAAUCCGUGAAAUACGUUUUAAGCUGUGACGUGGUCGUGGAGGUAACAUACUGACGAUGUACCUUAGCAGAUCCUUUUUUACUUUUUUUUUAAUAAAACACUGUUUAAUCCCUAUAUUUUAAAAUUAAUAAUUAUUUAGUCUUUAUAUUUUUAAAAAUAUCUCAAAACAUCCUUACCGUUAAGUAUUGACACCCUUACUAUUACUUUUUGUUAUUUUUUACUUACUUUUAUAAUAUUCCUCGUACAAUAAUUUUUGUUCUUUACUGGAAAGAAAAAUUAAAUUAUCAAUUUAAACCAAAAAUGUAAAAUAGAAACAAAAAAAUUUAUAUUAAUAAUUUUGAAUACUCCACGAGGAGUUAAUAUAUUAAUUUUUUUAUUAAUGUCCAAAAAAUUAGUAAUUAAUUUUUUUAUUUGUCUUUGUUUUUAUUUUAUUUUUAGGGUUAAAUUGGUAAUUUUAUUUUUUUUAUUAAUGUCUAAAAAAAGAAAUAAUAUUGCAAAAAUGAUAAUAUUAUAAAAGUAAGGUAAAAGGAAUAUAAAGUAACAGCAGAGAUGUUUUGAAGCAUUUUUAAAAAUAUAAAAACUAAAUAAACACUAACCUCAAAAUAUAAAAACUAAACGAGUUUUUAUCUUUUUUUUCCAAAAGGACAAUUAUUGCAAGGCUUCAAAUGUCUUUUCCCUUUUUUUUUUUUUUUCACUUCGGGUGUUAUACUGAAAUUUUUGUUAUCAUGAAUAAAAGCUUGUAGUUUUACAUAACCAAGUGGAGCUGUGGAGAGUUUGGACACUUCCUCAUUAUAGAACUGUGACAGCAAUAUUUUAACCCUUGGGGUAACAUAAUCAUGGCCAUGCAUGUAAUAUAAUGGUGCAUUAGUGGAGGGACCGUUAAAUGCUGAUUCAAGGUUUGAGAAUGUCCGGAUUAUGGAGAAACUUUAGAGUAGUACCAGGUUAACUAUGCAAUAAAUAAAUAAUACUAUACUAAGUGUAUAAUUAUUUAAUUACACGUGUCAUUUAUAUAUAUUCAUUAGUUGUAUUAUUUUUAAUAUAUCCUAGACUUCUUCCUAAUUAUGAGAAAUCUUAGAGUAGAUUAUUAUAUUAUCAUGGAGAAACUUUAGAGUAGUACCAGUUUAACUAUGCAAUAAAUAAAUAAUACUAUAUUAAGUGUGUAAUUAUUUUAAAGAAGUAUUAUAUAAAUAAUAAUUAUUUUAAAUUUACUUAUACGUGUCAUUUAUAUAUAUAUAUAUUCAUUAGUUGUAUUAUUUUUAAUAUAUCCUCCUCAUUAAGAGAAAUCUCAGAGUGGAUUAUUAUAUUAUUAUAUUCCGUGUCCAAUAUCACAUAUUUGUUUUGUUCUUUAGCUUUAUUGCAAUAUCACGAUCACUUCCGCUUUAUGAUUUUUUUCAACAAGAAUUUUUAAUAAUUUUACUUUUUAUUUAGGUUGCAGUUAUUUGAACCUACCGAUUUAUUUUAUGUACCCUCUUUUUAAUUAAUCUUUUAUUAUUAAUAUAUUCUUUUGAUGAAAUUUCCUAAUAACCAUGUUUUCACUUUCUCUAACUUAUUUUCUCUUUCUCCUACACCUUUAGUUUCUACAAAUUUUUACAUUUCUUUUUACUGAUAGAUUGCAGGUAAUUUUGAUAGAUGAGACAAACAACUCAAAAUUCAAAUAGAUAUUGUUAUAAUCUAUCAAGAAUAAAGGGGAAUAAAACCCACUAUCUAUAUGCAAUCUUCACACACCAUAAAGAAUAAAUAAUUUUUUUGACUAAAUUUUCAAAAAGAAAAACUAACACCUCUUAAUUUAUAGUUAAAGGUAAUAAUAUAAAUUAACAAAUAUUUCCGUUUUAAUUUCUAUCUAAAGUUAAGAGAGUGUUGUUUAGAGGCAACCAUAGUAGAGAGAGAGUUUUGUUACAGCGAGAUUGAAGAAGGAAGAAAUUAGUGAGGGUAACUUUGAAAUUUUAAAAAAUUAAAAUUUAAUAACAAAUAUGUAUUCUUUUACAUGGGUUCAAAUAGUCCCACCAUUUUAUUUAGUUUUGGAACCUCCUCAAGCCAUACCCGAGAUUCCCAACUAGACAAGGCCAUUUUCGCUAAACCAUGAGCCACGAAGUUACAGGAUCUCGAAGUAUAAACCACCUUAUACUGAUUCUUCUGGUCUAGCAAAGCUCUAAUUUCACAGAUUAUCCAAUCCAACUCUCCUCUACUAGAAAUACCUGAGAAUAAAAUUUGCAACAUUCUUUGAAUCAGACUCUAUAAUUAGAGGAGCCAAAACAACAUUUGCAGUCAUCUUCAAACCCUCUAAUAUAGUUAGAGCAUCAGCAAUUUUCGGAUCUCCUAAGCAAGGCUUCUUUGAUAUUGUCGCAGCCAUUACAGCUUCUUCAGAAUUUCUGAUAAUACAUCUUAGGCUAGCAAAACCUCUUUCCUUUUCCAUGGCUACAUCAAUAUCAAGCUUAUACCAAAGGAGAAUCUGGAGGGUGCCAAAUAUCAGGUUGAGGAGGAACAUUUUGGCAUGCGAUAUAUUGACCAAGUGGCCCAGCUUUGGUAGAUUCCUGCAAAAUUUCAGCCCUAUUUAAAACUUGGUGGCAAUCGUCUCUUGAACUACCAUAUAAAGCCUUAUUUCGUGCUUUCCAAAUUGACCAAGCCAUUCCCACAAACAAAACAAACUCUUCCUUUGAUAAAAUUUCAGCCCCUUUUUUACCAAACAAGAGAAUGACAUAUUAGCUGAGCUGGCAAGCCAAGAAAAACAAGGCUUGAGCUUCCAAACUUUCCUCGCAUAUUUACAAGCAACAAGACUAUGAUAGGCAUCCUCUACGUAGGCAUGACAUCUUGGACAAAAUUCAUUAUUCAAGAUUUUCCUUUUUGCCAAAUUGUAUUGUGUGGGGAGAAUGUUUUUUAAGGCUCUCCAAAAAAGGAUUUUUAUUUUAGGAAGAACUAGGAGGUGCCAUAUAAAUUUCUACCAACUAGCAAGACUCGUCGAACUAGAAGAAAAGUCGGGGAAUCUCAAUCUCAAUGUAACUUGGUACCCACUCUUACCGAAUAAACACCAUUUCUGUUAAAGUGUCAAGUAAAUUAUCUCUCAUAAGCACAUUAGGUAGUGGAAUCUUGAGGAUUUUAGCAGAAUCAACUGGGAGAAAAUGUUGUCGAAUGAGCUCAACAUUCCAUCCUCUACUUAUGCUUAACAAUUUGGCUACAAUGGUGUCUGUAGAUAGAGUGUGAGGAGAGAAAGGUCUGAUUGUAAAAGGUCGAAGGAUCCAGUUGUGAUGAUAUACAAGAAUAUCUUUCCCAUCACCUACUCUCCAUUUCGAACCACUCUUAAUUAUCUUCCUGCCCUAAAGCAAACUCUUCCAAAUGUAAGACGAAUUGCUUCUCCGCUUACUCUCGAGAAACCCCGAGUUAGGAAAAUAUCUGGCUUUUAAAACUUGAGCCACUAAAGAAAAUGGUUGAAGAAGGAUCCGUCGGCACUGUUUGGCCACAAGAGCUUGGUUAAAGGCAAUCAGAUCUCGAAAACCUAUGCCACCUUCACUUUUUGGUUGGCAAAGGAACCUCCAUGGAAGCCAAUGAAUACCCUUCGAUGAGGAAGAAUGACUCCACCAAUAAUUAGUCACCAUAUUGUCACGGGACGAGUGUUUUACGUAGCAAACCCGUGCGGCACUUAGACAACUUUGCCGAAUGUUGCUAAGUAAGCCUUGAGCUUCUCGACUAGUUAAACCUAAAGGUUUUCAAAGAGCUAGAGAGAAGAGAGUAAUGGAGCCAAAUAAGAGAAAUUGUAUUACUCAAAGAGUGCUUACAAGAGAGCUUACAAGAAUGCUUGGGUUGCUUGCUCUAAGCUUGUUGUACAAAUGCUAAAUGCCAUGCCCUAUUUAUAGGGGAGGCUUGCCAAGCUCUAGAAAUUCUAGAGAAUUCUACCACAUGCUUAGAAUUGUAGAUAUUUACAUGUGCUGAAAAUUAGUGGAGUAUUCUAGAGUAUUUACAAGCUCAAUGUGCUAGAGUUGCCUAGAACUUUCCGGAAUUGGGCCAAGCUAGCACUCUUGGCCUUGUCUUGGCUCUCUAGCCCAAAAUGAUGGGCAAUUGGACUAGCAACUUGGGCAGUCCGCAACAUCCUCCCCCACCUAAGCUCGCGGCGUCCUCGUUGCGCUCUCGUGCUUGAAGUACUGGAUGGGCUUAGCGAAUUGCCACAAAUCAUCUUCACGUUCCCGAGUGGCUUCACUCUCGGUGAGGUUUUUCCACUUCACCAAGUACUCAUUGUAUGGUAGCACGCCUCUCCUCCGACUCACGCGAUCCGCAAUGAUGUACUCCACAUCUUUGUCGAACGCGGUGACAACAGCAGUUGGCGCGCUCCUCGAUUCUCCGUGACUUGGGUCUUCCACAUCUCCGUGGUAUGGCUUGAGAAUGUUCACAUGGAAGACCGGAUGGAUCUUGAGUCUUGGCGGAAGUUGGAGUUGAUACGAGACGUUGCCCACACGUCGUACAAUUAGGAAAGGUCCCUCGUAGCGCCUCACUAACCCCUUGUGGACUUUUCGGAAUGUCUUGAAUUGUUGGGGUAGGAGCUUGAUCAUGACUUGAUCACCUUCCUUGUACUCAACAUGUUGUCUCCUUGUAUCUGCUUACUUUUUCAUCUUCCUCGCGGCUUUGUCGAGGUAGGUUCGCGUGAUGUCCGCUUCCUCGUGCCAUUCGCGAGCGAGCUUAUGUGCCACGAGGCUUUUUCCUCCGUAAGUUGAGGCUAUGGCGUUGGGAGUCACAUGUUGGAAUCCCAUGAUGAUCUCGAACGAACGGACUCUUGCCCGUAGCCUCACUUCGUUGCAAAUAAUAAGAAAAUUGGGCGAUGUCGAGUAGUUUCGCCCAAUCCUGCUAAUUAGCGCUCACAUAAUGCCUCAAAUACAUCUCGAGGAGGCCAUUAAUGCGCUCGGUCUGCCCAUCCGUUUGGGGGUGAAAACUUGUCGAGAACUUGAGUUCGGUCCCCAACAUCUUAAAGAGCUCCGUCCAAAAACGCCCAGUGAACCGAGGGUCUCGGUCGCUCACAAUUCUCUUCGAAACUCCCCAAAGCUUCACAAUAUGCUUGACAAUAGGCGGACUGCCUUGUCCGAUUUGUAAUCGACUGGUGUGGCGAUGAAAGUGGCAUACUUACUGUAACGGUCGACAACGACCAUGAUGCUGGCGUAACCUUUGAAUUUUGGCAGCGAUAUGAUGAAGUCCAUGGAGACACUUUCCCAUGGCCUUGUUGCGAGUGGUAGCGGCUCUAAUAAUCCCGCUGGAAGUUGAUGAUCCACCUUAUCUUGUUGGCACACAAGACAAGUUCGCACAUAUGCCUCGAUGUCGUCCCUCAUAUGCAGCCAAAAGUACGAGGCUUGGACUAGUGCGAUAGUUCGCUCAAUUCCUGGGUGUCCAGCCCACUUGAAGUCGUAGCACUCAUUGACGACUUUUUUUUUGUAAAUUUCCCCACCUUGGCACGAAUAGCCGAUCUCCCUUGGUGAGAAGGAUGCCUUAUGAUAACUCUAGAAAUUGAUGUAAUAACUCUUAUUUCUAGAGUUACUACAUCAAUUUUAGACUUAAAUCAAGAUCAUUUAAAGAGCAAAUAAGGUGUUUUCAUUACAUUUUGGUUACUUUUUGCAUAAACAUUCAUUUUAGUUAGGUUUUAAUAAGUUUUGUUUAAAUCAAGUAAUUUGUGCUAAAAACAGGUGCAUAAUUGUAGGUUUUAAAUUCAUAAGGGGAUGCUGAGACAUUAGAUGAUCAAGAGGAGGAAAGAAGAUGGCCACAAAAGAAGACAAGCACAAUCGGGAAUAAUGCAAUGCUGUUGUGGAUGCUAGUGCAACCAGUGCUGCAGUAAUCAGAGAGCAAUGCGGGAGAAAGCUUAAAGCGUGGGUCAACCAUAAAAUCGCGAUCUGCAUGUUUUCUAAUUUAAACGUAUGCACACGCAUGGACUUUAGGUCUUUUACCCUAAUUUGCAAUAUAAAAGGAGGCGUGCACCACAUAGAAAUACGGCAAGGAAUUAUCAUAAAAAAUAAUUAUAAAGGCAAGAAGAAUGAGAUCAAGAUUGAGGAGUGCUAUUCGGAAAAAAACAAAAGAACCGUGUAGAAUUAUUUGUCUUUUAUUGUGCUCAACUUAUAUCUUCUCUUCUUCCUUGAAUUGUUUGGAUGUAUUCCGAGAUCAAUAUAUUUGUGUUUAUUUUUCUCAUCCAGAUUAUGAACUAAAUUUACUUGUUGUUGAGUGAUAAAUAAUCCGAUAGGUUCUUGACUGUUCUUUUAUGUUGUUAUGGUAAUGCUGUAGUAUUAUACUCUAGUAGUUUUUAUGAAUACAACUGUUAUUUCGGUUGACCACCCAUUUAAUAGUUUCAGUUAAGAUAGAGCAGCAAAAUGGCAUGUCUUAGCGGACAUUAUUAGAGUAUUACUUGUUCUUAAGUCGAGUUUCCUGGAUUAGGUUACCUUGAAUCCCAUAAGGGCAAUACUUGAAGUUAAGAUUUGUGACACUCUAUACAUAGGUGUUCACCUUGUAGGGUGGAGAGAUUAAAUGUUAUAAUGUCGUACCAUAAAUAUAUGAGCAACUGGUCAUUAUUAAUAGAUUUAAAGGUAUGAGAUUUCCAAUAUACGAUAGCUGCGGAUGCAGAUUUAUUCUAUCCAUUGCUGCAGCACUUAUUGUAACAACUGGUGCUAAUUUGGUAAACAACAGUCACCCCAUUAGGAGAGUUUGAUCAUUCAACUACUAUAUUCUCAAUUGAAUCUUAGACACAUUUAACUUAGUUUAUUUCAUUACAAUAUUGUUUUAUUUCUAUUUCUCAUAAUUAUUAGUUAAGAUAGAAUUAUUUGACAAUUGUUUGUUUCGGUCUUUAGUUGAUUUGCACUAUUGUGAUUGCUUUAGCAUUUUGAGUAACAUCAAUCCCUGUGGAGACGAUCUUGAAUACUCAUCACUUUAUUACUUGUUGUGUAUACUUGCACAUUGGCAUUGAUAAUAAUUGAUUAUAGAAAUCAAUCAACACAUUUAUCUUGCCAAAAUCGCAUUGUCUUUCCCUCGAGCACCUUCUCCAGUAAGUCCUUUGUUAGUGGAUCUUGUUGGAGGCCUUCCUUGAUGCGUGAGACAAUGUCGGACCUCAGUUGGCUCAUGCUAAGUGUUGCCAAUUUGGCCUUGCGACUUAGAGCGUCCGCAACAACAUUGGCUUUACCUGGUUUGUACUCGAGCCAAUAGUCAAAUUCCGCAAAGAAGUCUUGCCACCGUGCUUGCUUGGGGCUCAACUUAUUUUGAGUUUGAAAGUAACUCGUCGCUACGUUGUCCGUCAUGAUCAUAAAGUGUGAGCCAAGUAAGUAAUGUCGCCACACCCGCAAGCAAUGUAUGAUUGCGGUCAUCUUCUUCUCUUGCACCGUGUAGCGGCGUUCCGUAUCGUUUAGCUUUCGACUCUAAAACACUAUUGGAUGGCCUUCUUACAUGAGGACUCCACCAAUGACGAAAUCCGAGGCAUCUGUUUGAACUUCGAAGGGCUUUGUGUGGUCCGAAAGAGUUAGGACGGGUUCCUCCGAAAUUGCUCUUUUCAACUCCUUGAAUGCGCGUUGGCACUCUUCGAACCAAUGCCACAUUCUGUUUUUUUUGAGCAAAUCCGUCAAGGGUGCCGUCUUGGUUGAAUAACCUUUGAUGAAGCGGUGGUAGUAAUUCACCAACCCAAGAAAUGAGCGGAGCUCGGGCACUUUCGUGGGAGGUUCCCACUCGAGGAUGGCCUUCACAUUCACAUUCUCUAUCAUGAGUUUUCCACCUACAAUCUUGUGGCCAAGGAACUCCACUUCUUGUUGGGCAAAUAAGCACUUCUCCAAUUUGAGGAAGAGCUCAUUAUCUCGAAGUACUUGGAGGACUUGUCGCAAAUGUUGGGCAUGCUCCUCGAACGUGGUGCUUGUUGUGCACGUUGUCUUUAGUUCGUCUCCCUUGGCGAUGCGCACUUAAUAGUACCCGGAGCGCAAGUCGAGUUUGUUGAAGUAUCGCGCCUUGCCAAGCUGGUCGGACAAGUCCGCGAUCAAGGGAAUCAAAUACUUGUUCUUGAUGGUGAUCUUGUUGAGCGCUCUAUAGUCGAUGCACAUUCGUAGCGAUCCAUCUUUUUUCUUUUGGAAGAGAACCGGUGCACCAAAUGAGGCCUUGGAGAGGUGAAUUUAUCCUGCGUCCAGCAAGUCUUUGAGUUGUCUUCGCAACUCUUCAAGUUCGGGUGGCGCCAUGCGGUAGGGCGCCAAGGCUGGUGGCUUCGCACCUUGUUCCAACUAGAUCGCAUGAUCUACCUCUCGUCGAGGUGAGAGCUUUUUCGAAAGUUCAGGAGGCACCACAUCCUUGAAGUCGUUGAGGACUUUUUGUAUUUACAGAGGGACUUGGCUUGGCUUGUUUCCACAAUCUCCUUCCUCGUUUAGUUCCCGGAUGGAGACCAAGAAGCUUGGGUUCUUCUUGAAAGCCCUUUUGAAUUGCAUGGCCGAGAGUGUCUUCUCCUCGGACUUGCCUCGUUCCGUAGGUAUCAUGCAUGCUUUGCUCCCGUCAAGGAUGCUAAGGGAGUUCGUAGCGGGCAGCGGGAAGGCAUGGACUUGAUCGAAGAAUUCCAUGCCGAUGACCAUCUUGAAGUCGUCCAUGGGCACAAUGGAGAAGUCAAGCUUUCUGCUAUAUGUCCUAAGCGUAAUGUGCACGCCUUGUACGAUCCCCGCAAUUGGCUUGGCGGGUGAGUUCACCGCUUUCAUCGUGCCUCCUUCCUUAGUGGCCUUAAGGCCUAAGCUCUUAACUUCGUCUACGGACACAAAGUUGUGUGUCGCUCUCGUGUCUAGCAGUGAGCGAAUGGACUGACCGUUUAUCUUUGCGCUUACAUACAUGAGCCCUUUCUUCGUGAGUGUGGGCUGUUGGCGGUUGAGUGCGUCGAGGCGUUGGAGAUAACCUAUCCUGAGUUGGGGUUCUUCCGCGGACAUAGUGGGGUUGCUCUUGAGUUGGGCUGCAAGAGCGUUGAAUGACUUCUUUUUCGAACAGUCGCGUACCCAAUGAGGACCGUUGCAAAUGAAGCAUGGGCUGCGUGGCUUCGAUGCCUCCUUCUUGCCCUCCAAUUUGCCUUGCCCGCUCUUGUUGCUAGGCGGCUUUUUCUGCCCCUAAUCUUUGUGGUUGUUGCCCUUGUCCUUGCGACUCUCUCCCCCACAUUUGCCUUGGUUGGCCUUUUUGUCCUUGGAUUGGGUGGAGUAUUCGGUGAGCGAUUCCGCAAUGGCGAUGGCAUCGUCAAGUGUUUGAACACCCCGCCUAUCAAGCUCGGUCUUGGCCCAAUCCUUGAGGCCAUCUCGGAAGUAGAAGAGUGAAUCUUUGUCGGACAUGUCGCUUAUCUCCAACAUGAGGGUAGUGAACUCGUUGAUGUAGCCCCGAAUGCUACCCCGAUUGUUUAAGGCAACGUAGGCGCGCUUGCGCUUCCUUCUCCGCGUUGCUUGGGGCUAACUGCUUUCAGAGUUCUUGCUUGAAGUCGGCCCAAGUAUCGAUGGUGCAAAUGCCCUUGCCCAUUUCGUCAUGCUUGUGACGCCACCAUAGUUGUGCAGCGCCUCGAAGAUAGGUGGGUGUUGUGCCCACUUUCGAUGCCUCGUCUCGAACACCCAUGGCAUUGAAAUAUUGAUCAAGCCCAAAGAGGAAAUUGUCCACGAUUAUGGCAUUGCGUGUGCCAUCGUAGGUGUCAGGCUUUGGCACGUCAAUGUGCCGCGCAUCACUCGUGCUUGUGAAAGCUGGACUAGUGGAGAGUGUGCGCUUAUGCCAUGCCCAAUCCGAGCGGACGUCAUCCACUUUCGUACGGACAGCGCGUAGUUCAUCCUGAACAAAGAUACAAAGUUUGAGCAACUCAUCAUGUAAAGAACGAAACUCACCUCGGAGAGUUUUGUUGCCACCGUGAACUCGGCGUAUUCUCCCUCGAGGCUGUCUUGAGCGGCAGACAAUGCGAUUUCGAGAGUGGUCACACGAGGCUCCAACGCAUCCACGGAUAGGGCCUUGGACUUGCAGCGAGUCUUGCCUUGGGCACGCUCUCCCUCACGGCCGCGGCUUGGUUCCGGUGGAACAUCCACACCAACAACACCCUCUUGUACUGGAUUUGAAAGGUCAGCCAUUGCUCGUGAGCUAACUUGCGUGGGUGCAAACCUUAGCUCUGAUACCACUUGUCACGGGAUGAGUGUUUUGCGCAGCAAACCCGUGCGACACUUAGACAACUUUGCUGAAUAUUGCUAAGUAAGCCUUGAGCUUCUCAAUAGCUAAACCUAAAGGUUUUUGAAGAGCUAGAGAAAAAAGAGCAAUUGAGUCGAAUAAGAGAAAUUGUCUUAUUCAAAGAGUGUUUACAAUAGAGCUUACAAGAAUGUUUGAGUUGUUUGCUCUAAGCUUGUUGUACAAAUGCUAAAUGCCAUGCCCUAUUUAUAGGGGAGGCUUGCCAAGCUCUAAAAAUUCUAGAGAAUUCUACCACAUGCCUAGAAUUCUAGAUAUUUACAUGUGCUGGAAAUAAGUGGAGUAUUCUAGAGUAUUUAUAAGCUCAAUGUGCUAGAGUUGCCUAGAACUUUUCAGAAUUGGGCUAAGCUAGCACUCUUGGCCUUGUCUUGGCUCUCUAACACAAAAUGGUAAGCAAUUGGGCUAGCAACUUAGGCGGUCCGCAACAAUAUGCUGCAAGUCAGAACAAAAUUCAAAAGGCAGUUAAAAAACACUCAUAGAAUAUGUGGGGAUUGCCUGUGCCACAACCUUUAACAAGAUUUAUUUUCCACCACAAGAAAAUAACUUCGAUUUCCAACCUAAAAUUUUAAAUCUAUUCCUCUCCUUCAACUUGGAAAAUGGUUGAGACUUUUUUCUACCAAUUAUUGAGGGAAGCCCAAGGUACAUAUCAUGGCAGGAGACAACAGUCAAAUUAAAAUAAUUUGAAUCAAAUUGGCAGUGGCUGAUGAAGCAUUAGGGCUAAUUGAAAUAGAAGGUUUGCCAAAAUUAAUCACCUGACCCGAUGCCGCAUAAUAUUUGUUGAGGAGGCUAUUCAAGUGUGCACACUCUGCAGUAGCUGCACGAGCAAAAAUUAAGCUAUCAUCAGUAAAAAGUAUAUGCGAGAUUGACAAACCUGCUCGACCAAAUUGAAUACCGUGAAUUAAAUUGUUAGCCUCUGCAUAUCGGAGCAUAGAUAAGAGGGCCUCUGUGCAUAAAAUUAAAAGAUAUGGAGAUAAAGGAAAACAUUGCUUUAGCCCUCUUUGAAGAAUUAUAUGGCCUGUAACUUCCCCAUUAACCAGGAGAGAAAAUGAGGAGGAUGAGACACAUCUGUAAAUAAUCUAUACCCACUGUGAGGAGAAGCCCAGCUUUAACAUGACUGCCUUGAGAAAACCCCAUUCAAUUCUGUCAUAGGCUUUACUAACAUCCAGUUUUAAGGCUACUAAAUAUUGUUUCGGUCGCCUCUGGUUCCAAAUUUUGUGCAGGCAUUCAUAACCAAUAAUAAUGUUAUCUGUAAUUAGCCUGCCAGGGACAAAGGCACAUUAGUUUGGGGAGAUAAUCUCUUGCAAAAUAUGCUUUAACCAAUUUGCUAAAACCUUAGUAAUAAUUUUGUAUAUGACAUUGCACAUACUUAUUGGUCGAAAAUUGCCCACUCUAAGUGGAACUUUAACCUUGGGAAUUAAUACAACAUGGGCAUGAUUAAUCUUGCGCAAAUCUCCACCUUCAUAGAGAAAGCUCAGGCAUGCAUCAGCCAGUGAAUCACCAAUGAAGCUCUAGUAGGAGUGAAAAAAUGAAACGGGAAAACUAUCAAGGCCUAGAGCUUUAUUCGGAUUCAUCUGAAACAAAACAUCCCGAACCUCUUCCUUUGUGAACACUUGAGUAAGCAUUUCAUUCAUCUCAUUCAUAACUUUCGGCUGUAAAAAAACAAGAGCAUCAUUUACACUAUCUGGUCUUGGAUUGGAAGAUUGAAAAAUACUAGAAGUAAUUUAUAAAUUCUACCUCAACUUCUUCAGGCUCCUCUUUCCAUAUAUUAUAUCCAUCUAGGAUGCCUUCAAUCAGAUUUCGUUGUCUUUUUGAAUUUGCUUUAACAUCUUGUAUUCAUGUCUUUCGCCUAUAGCCAAGAGAUUCUAGACCUCUGAUACCAAUAUAGCUCGGCAUUCCUUCAUUAAGUCUUCAAUCUGCCUUUCUAGGUUUUGGAUAUCAGUCAAUCACUGGAUGUAUGUGCGGCCACUUUUGAUGGCCAUAAGCUGAUAAUUGAGCCUUUUUAGCAAUUUUUGUUGUUUCCAAAACGCUGGGAGCUCCACUUCUGCCAAGUCGCUCUAAUUAUUUCUAUUCUAUUAAGGAAGUUGUCGAGCGGGUUAAGGAUAUCAGCGACAUGCUUGUUAGACCAGACUCCACUUAUUAAAUGUUUGUUGUCAUCAUAUCAUCUCCAAUAAUUCUCAUAGUGGAACUGUGUGAAGAUAUGUGUAUGUGGACCUAAAUGAAGAAACUGGAAAAGUAGAGAGCUGUUGUGCAGAUUGACUUCAGUUGAUGGGGUCUAUUUAAUACUUUCUGCUGACGUGGCAUGGAUUCGUUAUAAUCUGUUAUAACGAACCCAGCACACUGAUAUAAAACAGAGGCUGACGAGUGGUGCCUGAUACAAUGCUAAUAUCGUCUUCAUUUGUUCAUCAUUUUGCAUAGAAUCUGUUACAUUGUGAUCUGUGCAUAAUCUUCUGUAAAUCACUUGUGAUUGGGUUAGUUCUUGAUCAGUAAUAAUGAGUAAAUUUUCCUUCUAAAUUUUGAUGGUCUGUGUCUUUGUUUUGUUUCUGGUAUAGCUUCUUUGUUAUGACUUUCUUGAUUCGCUUGUGUUCUUGGUGUUUCUACUCACCAAGAUUCGUGAGUCUUGUUAUGAUUUAGGCUUAAAAGUCUUAACAAGUGGUAUCAGAGCCUGAUGAAUCUCAGCCAUGUCUCUACCAAGGCAUGAAAUUGAGAAAUUCACCAUUGGUGGUGAUUUCUCGCUUUGGAAGCUAAAAAUGAGAGCUCUCCUUGUGUAUCAAGGGCUUGAAUCUGCCCUGGAAGAAGAAGAUCCAGAGGCUUCUACAGGUUCUGGAAUUGAUGACAAGAAGAGACAAAUAUAGAAUCGAGCUCAUAGUACUCUGAUUUUGAGUCUUGGUGACUCAAUCUUGAGAGAGAUUUCUGAAGAGAAGACAGCCUUAGGAAUUUGGAACAAGGUUGAAACCUUGUGUAUGAAGAAGUCCCUGGCUCACAGAUUGUUUUUAAAGAAAAGGUUGUACACAUUCUCAAUGAGAGAAGGGGUUACAAUACAAGAUCACAUUGACACUUUUAACAAGAUCAUCCUUGAUCUUGAAGGGGUGGAAAAUGUAAAAAUCUGUGAUGAAGAUAAGGCAUUCUUCUUGCUGAGCUCUCUACCAAAGUCUUAUAAAGGCUUUGUAGAUACAAUGCUCUAUGGGAGAACCACUUUGACUCUUGAAGAUGUUAAAGCAUCCCUCAGUUCAAAGGAGAUUCAGAAGAACAGUGAGCUUGAAACAAGUAAUGGUGAGGAGCUGAUUGCAAGAAUAGAAAAGAAGAAAGAUCAGAAGAACAAAAAUCAAGGAAAAGGGCAUGGAAAGAACCAAGAAACUGCAGACAAGAAGAAAAAGAAAAGAAAGUGCUUCUACUGCAGAAAGGAGGGGCAUUACAUAAGGGAUUGCUUUGAGAAGAAGAAGAAGGAAAGUCAAGAAAAAUCAGGGGAUGUAGCAGUAGCCUCUGAUGAUGGUUCUGAUGGAUAUCAAAGUGCUGAUUUACUUGUGCCUCAAACAGCAAUACAAAAGGUCAGUGGGUCAUAGACUCUGGAUGCUCUUUUCACUUGUGUCCUGACAAAACCCUAUUUUACAAAUAUGAAGCUGUUGAUGGUAGUAGAGUCUUAAUGGGAAACAAUAAUGUGUGCAAUAUUGUUGGUGUUGGUUCUGUAAAAAUCAAGAUGUUUGAUGGAACUAUAAGAUCUCUACAUGAGGUGAGGCAUGCUCCUAGGCUAAAGAGAAAUUUAAUCUCUUUAGGCAUGCUAGACAGCUUAGGGUAUUUCUUUAAAUCAAGAAGUGGUGGUUUAGAGAUAAGAAAGGGGACUGAGAUAGUGAUGAGGGGGUUAAGGAGAAUGGUUUAUAUGUAUUGCAAGGCUCAUCAGUGCCUGUUCUAGAAGGAGUUUCUGCUGUUUCUGAGGAAGAUAAGACCAAGUUAUGGCACCUUAGGCUUGGUCAUAUGAGUAUCAAGGGGCUGUAAGAGCUUAGUAAACAAGGGCUACUUGGUGGGGAUAGAAUCCAGCAACUAGAGUUUUGUGAAAACUGCAUUUUUGGCAAAUCACACAGGUCCAAGUUUAACAAGGGGGAGCAUAUGUCUAAACAAGUUUUAGACUAUGCACACACUGACCUCUGGGGGCCUGCUCAAGUCCCUUCCUUGAGUGGUGGCAGGUAUUUCAUGUCACUUAUUGAUGAUUACUCAAGGAAUGUAUGGAUCUACAUACUCAAGACCAAAGAUCAAGCCUUGGAAAAAUUCAAGGUCUGGAAAUCAUUGGUAGAAAAUCAGUCAGGCUUCAAGCUGAAAUGUCUGAGGACUGAUAAUGGCUUGGAAUUUUGUAGCAAAGAAUUUGAGGAAUAUUGCCAAAAGCAUGGCAUAAAGAGGCACAAAACGGUAAGGUUCACCCCCCAGCAAAAUGGCUUGGCUGAGAGGAUGAACAUGACCUUGGUGGAUAAAACCAUAUGUAUGCUGAUAAAUUCAAAGCUUCCAAGAAGUUUUUGGGCAGAAGCUGUCAAUACAGCAAGUUAUUUAGUUAACAGAAGCCCAUCUUCUGCAAUUGGCUUCAAAACACCAAAAGAAUUGUGGAAGGGAAAACCAGCAAACUACCAAAAUCUCAGAGUUUUUGGGUGCCCUGCUUACCUCCACAUCAAUCAAGGCAAACUGAAUGCAAGGGCCUUGAAAGGAGUCUUUGUUGGAUAUCCUGAUGGGGUUAAGGGGUACAAAAUCUGGUGUAAGGAUCAAUGGAAGUGCAUAGUCAGCAGGGAUGUUGUGUUUCAUGAAGCUGUAUUGCUGAAAGAAAGUACAGAACAUGAUACUGGGCUGCAAGACAAUCCAGCAGCUAACAAACAAUCUGGAUCUGGAACUUCCAAGGUUAAGGUGGAGCUAUUGACAGAUAAAGGCAGUGAAAAAGAAGCAGCUUCUAAUGAUGAGAGGGCCACAGCUGAAAGUAAGGAACAUGAGGUAUCAGAAUUGCCACAAGCUGACUUACAGAGCUAUCAGUUAGCUAGAGAUAGAGUUAGAAGGGAAGUCAGAGCACCAGUCAGGUAUGGCUAUGCUGACUUAAUUGCCUAUGCACUAUUGUGUGCUGAUGAAGUGACAAUUGAAGAGCCUGCUAACUUUUCUGAAGCUAUGGAAAGUGUGCACUGUGACAAGUGGCUUGAGGCAAUGCAAGAUGAAAUGGAGUCACUUCAAAUAAAUCAGACCUGGACACUUAUACUAAAUCCAGGAAACAAAAGGUUGAUCAACUGUAAGUGGAUUUUUAAGAGGAAUGAAGGAAUUCCAGAUGUUGAACCUCCCAAAUAUAAAGCAAGGCUAGUGGCUAGGGGGUUUACACAGAGGGAAGGUGUAGAUUUCAAUGAAAUUUUUUCUCCUGUAGUGAAGCACAGUUCAAUAAGAAUCUUAUUAGCCAUGGUAGCUUUACUUGACUUGGAGCUGGAGCAGAUGGAUGUAAAAACAGCCUUCCUUCAUGGUAAUCUUGAAGAACAGAUAUUGAUGGCACAACCUAAAGGAUUUGAGUGUAAGGGUAAGGAGGACUAUGUUUGUCUGCUGCAUAAGUCCUUGUAUGGACUCAAGCAAUCCCCUCGACAGUGGUACAGAAGGUUUGAUGAUUUUAUGGUCUCAAAGGGCUAUCACAGAAGCAAAUAUAACAGCUGUGUUUACUUUAGUGGAUCAAAUCAAGGUGGAGUUGCUUAUUUGCUUCUGUAUGUUGACGAUAUGUUAAUUGUAAGCAAAUACAAGUCAGAAAUAGAGAGGUUAAAGAAUCUGUUAAAGGCUGAGUUUGAAAUGAAGGAUCUUGGCAAUGCUAAAAGAAUCCUUGGGAUGGACAUUAUCAGAGAUAGAUCUGCUGGCACUUUAUUCUUGAGUCAAGAAAAAUAUAUCAAGAAAGUUCUAGAGAGGUUUGAGAUGCAAUACUGUAAACCUGUUCAGACUCCACUUGGUCCACAAUUCAAGUUGUCAGCAGCUCCAACAUCAGAAGAUGAGUCUUAGAUGAAUGAAUUCCCAUGUGCACAGGCUGUGGGGAGCCUGAUGUAUGCAAUGGUAUGCACCAGGUCAGACAUAGCUUAUGCAGUAAGUGUUGUCAGCAGAUAUCUCAGUUGUCCAGGCAAGGUUUACUGGAAUGCUGUCAAAUGGAUAAUGAGGUAUCUAAAAGGUUCUUAUACUUGUGGUUUGCUGUAUGAGAAUACUAAGAAUGAAAAAAUUGAAGUCAUAGGGUUUGCAGACUCUGACUUUGCUGGAGAUCUUGACAGAAGAAAGUCUACAUCAGGUUAUAUGUUUGUGUUAAAUAGUUGUUUGAUCAACUGGAAGUCAUCUCUUCAGUCUGUGGUUGCUUUGUCCUCAACUGAAGCUGAGUUCAUUGCAACUACAGAGGCAGUAAAGGAGGCCAUGUGGCUAAGGGGCUUGCUUAAUGAGCUAUGGUUAAAUCAGAAGACUGUUCAAGUUUUUUGUGAUAACCAAAGUGCCAUACACCUGGUUAAGAAUCAGAUGUAUCAUGAAAGAACCAAGCACAUUGAUGUGAAGCUCCAGUUUAUCAGAGAUGAAGUUGGAAAUGGUACAGUGGCUGUGUCCAAAAUCCAUACCAGUGUGAAUCCAGCUGAUGCUCUAACAAAAUCACUUCCCACUGCAAAAUUUGAGUUCUGUGUGAAUCUAAUGGACAUCAUGCCCAAAUCUAACUAAAUUCAAGAAGAUGAAUUGUAGUUGAAUGAAGGUUUUUUAGGUGUUGUGUUAUUGAAGGGAUCAACUGCUCAACUGCAAGGUGGAGAAUGUGAAGAUAUGUGUAUGUGGACCUAAAUGAAGAAACUGGAAAAGUAGAGAGCUGUCGUGCAGAUUGACUUCAGUUGAUGGGGUCUAUUUGAUACUUUCUGCUGACGUGGCAUGGAUUCGUUAUAAUAUGUUAUAACGAACCCAGCACACUGAUAUAAAACAGAGGCUGACGAGUGUUGCCUGAUACAGUGCUAAUAUCGUCUUCAUUUGUUCAUCAUUUUGCAUAGAAUCUAUUCCAUUGUGAUCUGUGCAUAAUCUUCUGUAAAUCACUUGUGAUUGGGUUAGUUCUUGAUCAAUAAUAAUGAGUAAAUUUUCCUUCUAAAUUUUGCUGGUCUGUGUCUUUGUUUUGUUUCUGGUAUAGCUUCUUUGUUCUGACUUUCUUGAUUCGAUUGUGUUCUUGGUGUUUCUACUCACCAAGAUUCGUGAGUCUUGUUGUGAUUUAGGCUUAAAAGUCUUAACAAACUGUCUACCCCACUUAGCUCGUUUUCUCUUAAAUUCAUUUUCCUUUUAAAAAUGUCAAUCACGAUUGGAAGGUGAUCUGACUUGAAUGCUUGAAUAUUAGACACCACAGCCCCCCUAAAGAUGUCAUUCCAGUCUCUAGUACAUAAAAACCAAUCGAGCCGCUCUUCAAUUAACACAUCCCCAUCCCCAUAUCUUUUAUUUGUUUGGGAUACCUCCUCUUUUCUCAUCAGUCUUCAAAAUCUCGUUAAAAUCGCCUCCACAUAACCAAAGGGCUAUUGAAAGCCUAGAUAAACUUUGGAAUAACCUCUGGGAAUGUUUUUUUUUUUUUUUUGCAUUGUUCAGAGUGGCCAUAAAAUCAUGUAAAUCGCCGAGUGAGGUUAUCAUUAGGCAAAAUCAACAUAUCAAUAUGGUGCAGAUUAUAAGACAAUAUAUUGAUAUUAAUACUAGAAUUCCAGAGUAAAGCUAACACCCCACCACAACCCAAACAACCCACCGAAAGCCAAAAAUCAUAAUUUAACUUAACUCGAAUGAUUUUCAUUUGAUAGGAGUUUCGUUUGGUUUCACUUAAGAAAACAAAAUUUGGUUUAUACUGGUGGAGAACUUGUUAUAAAUCAUGGAAUGUUUGAGGGUUCCCCAAGCCUCGAACAUCCCAACAUAAGGCCCUCAUUGUGUUAGGCGCGGCUGAAAUCCAGCCACCACCAUGGAAACAUCAGAGGAAACAUCUUCUGUACUUUUAACCCCUUUUUUUUCCUGGGCCAUCUAUCGCUAUCUCCUCGCUAUGUCUUUUCAGAUAUUCCUGGCCAGCGGAAAAAGAAGUUGUUGAGUUGGUGGAGCAUGCUUGCUUCCGGGCUAGUAAUUUCCACCGUCUGUGUGCAUGGCAACUAGCACUCUCGGCUUUGGAUUGAGAAUUAUCGAUGAUUUGGGUCAAGACCAAACAAGGCUGGGGCACAACAUACGGCUUAUCUUGUUGGACGUGUGGUGAAUGGGCUGGACUAAACUAUGAGAUUUCAACUGGGCAACCAUUCCUUUCGGCUAGAUUUUCCGUAAUUCUUGGUAGGAGAUUAUCUUUGAGCUCGCUAAGGAAUUGGAAUUGUUGAGUGCCUCCGUCCUGUCCCUCGCCUUUUUGCUUUCGUUUGUACCUAUCUGCACGUGAGCCAACUCACCAUGAUCAUUCCCCUGUUCCGACUCACGUGGUUUUGGAACUUUCCCCGUCUGUUGCGUCUCCCCUACUUAUUCUUUAUGGCCAUCGUGGUGGCUUUUAACCAAGCGCCAUAGCCAACAUUUUCUUCUUUUGCAUUGUGGGGCAUAAUCUCGCAAUCCUUGUAAGUAUGACCAAUCAUGCCGAAUAAUAACAGAAUUCUGGUAGACGUUCAUAAAGCAAAGGUAGCAUGAUGACAUCUCCCUCCUCUACAAAAAGCUUCCCAACAAGUACCCUCUGUAAGGGUUGAGUAAUGUUAAUCUGUACCCGUACACGGAUAAAUCUAUCAAAACACUCUCCCGUUUGCCCUGAAUCUACCUCUUCCACUUCACCAAUUAAUUUUCCCAAAGCCAGUCAUGUUUCUUUAUUCAUACAAACGAUGGGACUGUUAUGAAUUUGGACCUAAAACGGAGUCUUUGUGAAAUGAAUUUUAGAAAUAUCUCCCGGCCCCUGCGGCUCUACCAGCGUGAUUAGAGAGUUAUUAAAAUGCCACGGGCCGGCUCUGAGAAUCCUUUUCUUGUCAAUAUUUGAAUGAAAAUGGAAGAUGAAACGAUUGUCCCCCAAACUCUCAACAGUAACCCCUUUUAUAGUGUUCCACAUCUUUUAAAUUGCCAAGCGAAAACCUUCUCUAUUGAUGGCUUUUGCAGAAAAGACCUUACCCACAAGUGAGUUGGUUAACACUUGCUUCUCACUGGUAAUAACAGCCUUACCCAAUGUGGUUAUAUCAAUGCUCCUCUUCCCCUUUCAGCGAAAGCGACUGGCACCGCCUGACUAAAUCUUUUUUUUUUUAAUACUGUUAUACAUGAUUGUUAUUGAUAUUACAUCAAGUAUUAUAAUUAAUAUUAACAAACAGAUUCUACAAUUGGGACUUUUUUCGUGGCAUAUACUCUUUUGAAGCGCUGCCCAGAUUCUUUAAACCCUCUCAAAUAUUCGAGAGUUGUCCACUCCACUCACAUUUCGUGAGGGAUAAACUGGCUCCACUCAAUUAUUUGAUAAUUGAGGGAGGAUUGUAAAUAACCCUCAUAAAUACUUUUAUGGAGGCUCAAACCCUUGCAUUCAACAUUGUAAGUGUAAGGAUUCUCCCACUGGACUAAAGGCCUAUUGGUGCCUGACUAAAUCUUCUGACUCUAUGAGUUAAAACUGAAAGGCGCUGGAUAGUCGGUGGAGAGAAAUAUUCGCAAGGAGUGGAUGUGAAGAAAAUUCUAUCCUGCGCUGAGAGACUAACGAAACACAAUUCCAACUAUAUGGGACAAGCCUUACGCAACAAGGCGUUCACUAGAGCGAACUCUAUUUUAUUUAGUUUUUUUAAGAUUUAUUUACACUUGCAAUUUCUUAGGUUCUGUGGCUAAGAUUUGUUUCUUGAUUUUUUUUAGUUUAAGAUUUAGAUCAUUUAUCUCUUAUUAAUAUUAAUGGAUUGGAUAGGGUAAAAGCUCAUUUAGUCCCCUAUAUUAUAAGGUUAGGGCCAUUUAAUCUCUGUAUUUUUAAAAAUAACUCAAAACAUCCCUAACCUGCCAUUAUUUUUUAUUACUUUUGGCUUGCUUUUAGAAUAAUAUUCUUACAAUUAUGUUUUUAUUUUUUGGACGUUAAUAAAAAGAUUAGAUUACCAAUUUCACCUCAAAAAAUAAAAUAAAAAUAAAAAGAAUAUACAUUAAUUGGUAAUUUUUUUUUUAUUAAUAUCCCAAAAGAAAGAAACAUUAUUGAAAGAGGGUUUUAUUGUAAAAACAAAUCAAAACAAAUCAAAAAUAAUGACAUAAAUGUCAAUAAUUUAGUAUGGAUGUUUCGAGAUAUUUUAAAAAUAAAAAUAAGGAACUGAAUAGUUACUAACCUCAUAAUAUAGAGAGUAAAUAAGUUUUUACUCUCAAACUUUCCUUACCAGCAUCAACCUUCUUCUUUUUUUUCUUUUGUAGAGACAACUUUCUUUUAUUUAUUUAGAAAUUUUAAUUAUCCUAUACUCCCAACUCUUAUUCGUCCAUUAAACCUUCCAUUUUCUACACGCUUAAUUUUAAUUCUCAUCUAUAAAUCCUUUUAUUGGUAUUAAUAAAGUUGAAUGACUAAAAUUUCAUUUUGUUUUUUAAUUGUCAUAAACAAUUAUAAGAGGGUCUGGAAAAAAAAGUACCGGGCUUUGUAAUAAUAGUACCGUAGUAGUAGAAGAAGAAUUGUUUUAGUUCGUACGAAAUUAAAAAGAAAAAAAAAUCAUAGCCGCACAAUUGGGCCUUAUUAUCUUACAUUAUAGAUUUACUUACAUAAAGCAGAUAUCAUUCGUCAAAUUAAUUAAACUAAUGAAAUCGGACGGAUGGAAAUUAAUUGCAAAACUAAAGAUAAUAAGAGGGCAAUCGUGAAGAGGGAAUGCGAGUUUGGGUGAUUAAACAUGAAUCGGAAGAAAAAAAAUGUCAAAUUUUUAAGAUACUACACAAGCCCGGCAAUUAAGAUGCCGACAUAACCAUUAACAAAUUUCCAUCCCUUUGAGUAUCCAUUCUCAUUAAUUAAAUUAACUUAAGAAAAUAAGGACUGACUUUUUUCCAUCUAUCACGGCUAUCAAUGAAACAUUAGCCACAACCACGGUGCCAUGGUGAAGCACUCUCUAUCAGCUACCCCUUGGAGGGGGGGGUGCUAGAACUAGCAGUUUGGAAAUUAAAUUUAAAAGAUUAUGAUCGAGUUGGUGAGCAAGCAAUGAAAGGCAAAGAGGAAACAAUGAAUGAAGGAUAUCUGCACAAAAAGAGAAGGGACAACCGGAGCGUCGAACAGGUUAAACUGAGGAUUAAAAUAAAAUGGUCCUUUUUUUUCUCUAGAAAAAUACAGUAUUUUUAGUAUCACCGAAAUUUGUUGAAGGAAAACUUUCAUGUCGUUUUAGGUUGUAUCAAAAUUAUUAAAAGGGAUUAAACCGCAUUGAUUAUUCUUGUAACUGGUUUUUAACCGGGUCAAAUCAGUUAUACCAACUGUAAUACUGUUAAUUUGCAUGUCAUUUCUUGAGAUGUACAAUAACGUAAAGUGACAACGCCCCGCACAAUUCUACAAAAGAAACAUGUGAUGAUGUAAAAUAGAAGAAGUCAUCUUUAGCCUUUUUUUUUUUUUUUUGUUAAGUCAGAGAAGGACUUUAAUUUUUUAAUUUUUCGAUAUCACUCCUCACUUAUUUAUACCAGUCAUCUGAGCAAUUAUUUCUUGCACCCACACUCGCACUCCUUUUCAGUGAAACAAGUCCACUGCUUCCUCUUCAUUUGUUUUCCAGGCUUGAUAGUAUCAAACAUGUUAUCAAAACUUAUCCAUAAUUUCGUUGAUUUAUUCUUUGAAUUCAAUGAGCGCACAAUCACCAGCUCCACAGUGAUACAAAUUCUUUUGGCGGCAACAUUUGCAAUUUCUUGCUAUGCAUGGCUCAUUAAGAAACCAACUAGAAGCACACCGCCGCUGCCACCCGGUCCAAGACCCCUGCCCUUAGUCGGAAACUUCCUUUCUCUUGAACCAAACUUGCAUCAUUACUUUGCCAAAUUGUCCCAAAUUUACGGUCCAAUCUUCAAAUUGCAUCUGGGCAGAAAAUUGUGCAUUGUGAUCAGCUCACCUUCACUUGCCAAACAAGUCCUCAAAGAGCAUGAUGUGGUAUUUGCCAACCGUGAUCCAUCUGCGGCUGCAUCAGUUUUAACAUACGGAGGGAAGUCUAUAGGUGCGAGUCCUGAAUGGCCCAAGUUGCGUCAAGUUCUU